GACAGAGGGGGCAAGCGUUGUCCGGACUGACUGGGCGUAAAGCGCGCGCAGGCGGUUCGAGGCGUCGGUGCUGAAAGUCCACCGCUUAACGGUGGGAUGCGUGCCGAUACGCUCGGACUGGAGGGUGGGCGAGGGUGGUGGAAUUGCCGGUGUAGUGGUGAAAUGCGUAGAGAUCGGCAGGAACACCAGUGGCGAAGGCGGCCACCUAGCCCGCACCUGACGCUCAAGCGCGACAGCGUGGGGAGCGAACUGG
rnacentral:rRNA from 1 species